rnacentral:rRNA from 1 species
GACGAACGCUGGCGGCGUGCCUAAUACAUGCAUGUUGAGCGCUGAAGGUUGGUACUUGUACCAACUGGAUGAGCAGCGAACGGGUGAGUAACGCGUGGGGAAUCUGCCUUUGAGCGGGGGACAAAUUUGGAAAACAAAGCCUAAACCGCAUUAAAACCUUUAAACACAGUUUUUAGGUUUAAAAAAGCCAAUUCAUUCACUCAAGAAGAAUCCGCGUUGUAUUAGCUAGUUGGUGAGGUAAAGGCUCACCAAGGCGAUGAUACAUAGCCGACCUGAGAGGGUGAUCGGCCACAUUGGGACUGAGACACGGCCCAAACUCCUACGGGAGGCAGCAGUAGGGAAUCUUCGGCAAUAGACGAAAGUCUGACCGAGCAACGCCGCGUGAGUGAAGAAGGUUUUCGGAUCGUAAAACUCUGUUGGUAGAGAAGAACGUUGGUGAGAGUGGAAAGCUCAUCAAGUGACGGUAACUACCCAGAAAGGGACGGCUAACUACGUG